CGAGCCGGACGGACGGUCGCUGGCUUUCUUCGGAAAGCGAGAGGAAAGUCCGAACUCCACAGGGCAGUGUGCUGGCUAACGACCAGUCCGGGUGACCGGAAGGAAAGUGCCACAGAAAAUACACCGCCUCUUCUUGGCGCCUUGGCCGGCGCUGGGGAGCGGUAAGGGUGAAAAGGUGCGGUAAGAGCGCACCGCUUGGGUGGUGACAUCCAAGGCAGGGUAAACCCCACACGGAGCAAGACCAAAUAGGGGGGCGUUCGAGAGUGGCCCGCUCGAAGCUCCCGGGUAGGUCGCUCGACCGGACGAGCAAUCGUUUCGGCUAGAUAAAUGAUCGUCGCUUCUCGGAGGGUGACCGACGAGAGGAACAAAAUUCGGCUUACGGCCGACUCGAGCA
rnacentral:RNase_P_RNA from 1 species